CUUGCUCUCUCUCUCUCUUUCUCAGUCUCAAAUAAAUAAACAUUUUAAGAAAAAAGUUUAAAAGUCAACUCUGGGGUAAAGUGAACUUUCACUUCCAGUAAUAGAUUUGGUAAUUCAGGCUAAUAUUCUUACUGAGGAAAUCCACGUAAGUUGGACAAAAUAUUUUAAAAAUCAUUCUAGGAGCUAACAUGAAGAAUGAAUGUAACAAGAUCUGAGAGAAAGAAACCCAGAGAGGUGAGAAUAUUUAGAGCCACUUUUCCCAAAGAGGUGGCGGAGAAGCUGAACCAAACUUUUGACAGAUUAACAGGGAAAGGGGUAUAAAAGUUGAAGUCUGAGGAAGGUCAAGGGGCGUGACAACACGCAGUAAGUUGGGAACCAAAGGACUACAUUGGCAGUAAUGGUAAACUAGAAAUAGACUAUCCCUUCUAGCUUCAAAUCCUCUCAGGUCCCUCAAUUGGAUUAAGGUGAUCUAGGAUUGCUAGUGACCUUAAUCUUUUGCCAGAAGCAAAUAUAAACCCUCCUUGGCCAAAGAUAUUAUUUUAGACCUCAAACUAUUUUUACAGUUAUCUAAAUGCAAUAUCUGACAUUCACUUAAAAAUAAUCAGAUAAGCAUUCGCAAACUGAUGGGAUAUGUCAAAGGGCACAGAAGAAUCCAUGAGUUGAUAAAAAUACUCAAACAAAGGGCAAAGAGAGGAGGGAAAACUCUUCUUUACAGAGGAAUGCCAGUUAAUGUACAUGGAUUGAUAGCAUUAAAAAAUAAUUUUGUAACCACCAGAAUAGUAAGUGAUAAGGAAAUGCUUAUUAAUGGAUGUUAACACCACUGGGUAAACAAUUGGAAAAUAGGAUAUCCACAUAGUCUCCAAGUAUCUUCUUAUGUAUUAUUAAUAACAAAAGGAAAGAGGUAUUUUGACAGUAGAGAAGUCUGAUACACACCACCUUAACGAAAUGAUCACACUUAAAAUGACCAUUAACUGACAUUAUAUGCCUUCUGAUAUGGUGAACAGAGGAGGACAAACCAUCAUCAGUGUAUUAUUCUUAUAAAGUAUAUAUACAUAAAUAUGUUUUUUAAUUUGGCAAGUGUAUACUGAAGUCUAAUUGCAGAAAAUUAGACUUGUUUUAGGAGCUGUGGAGAAUAAGACCGAAGAUAGUAUAGUAAUGUCUUCUUUAAAUUCAAGUUUAUAAGCUAGUUGGUAAGAUAAGCCAUCCAAUGUAAUUAUAUUACAAGAAUUAUUUUAUUUGCCAAGAUUUCAAAGAUUUUUUUCAAAUGCCUACCUGGUCAUCCAAGACUCUAGUACUCUCCUGUAUAAACUAUUGUCAAUUGUCAAUAGAAACAGUUAUAACUCUGAAAGUAGUGCUUUCAUUAGGACAAUUUGAUUUGGAAAUCUUUAAUUUUGUCCACUGAGCUAUAUAUAGGUCAAUUUACUUCAACAAAAUGUCAGAGUCUGUUAUGCCUUGGGAACUUUAUGGGCACUGGGCAUACAUCUUCACAGUACUUUGCUAAAAGGCAAAUCGUCCCCUGGGAGAUGUAUCUUUUUAAACUGCUGGUAGUCAUUUCAAUUUUAGUUUAAGGACUUUCCAUCUUGAGAGUAGAUUUUGAUUGGGAUAGAGAACAUGAGGGCAUUUGAGCACGCAAGGCAUAAAAAGAGAGGUUUUCUUUGAAACAAUCGAGUGAAGAAAAUGGAUGAUGAUUUUCUGUUAUUGUUAAGAAAGUAUGGGAGAGUUGGGGGAUUUAGUUGUGGAGUUAUUUCUUUUUUUUUUUUUUUUUUUUUUUUUGCAGAGAAGAAGAUUGGUUGGUUACGUGUUGGAUGGUUAAGGAGAGAGGUUAAAGAGUAAAAGGGAGGGAAGAACAUUACAGAAAUUUAACCAUACCUUGCCAUAGCUACCUAGAACCUGUCUGGGGAGCAGGAGUAGGGCAGGUGGAAGAAACCAGUUCUAGAACAUCAAUAUUUACUCUAAGCAAGAGAAAACAAUCAUACAAAUCCAAAUAAUGGAACAUUUUAAAGAACUCCUUAAAAAUAAUAAUGUCAUAAGAGGAAAAGAAAAAAAAAGGCAGCACAACUAUUCUAGAUUAAAGGAAACCAAAGGUUAUGCUUGAUCUUUAUGUAGAUACUAGAUAUUCAGAAAAUGCUAUAAAGGAUAUCAUUCAAUUAGGGAAAUCUGAAUAUGUGCUGAAUAUUAGAUAUAUAUAUUAUGGUAUCAAUAUUUAAUUUUUUGAGUGAUGAGAGGUACUGUGAUUAUGUAGAAGAGUAUCUCUGUUCUUAAGAUAAAGAUACACGGUGAACUAUUCAGAGGGUGAAGCACCAUGAUAUCUGUAGAGUCCUUUCAAAUGGUUCAGGAAAAAAAUAUACAUAUAUGCAGUACUCACUUUGCAUAGUAGUGCAGCACUCAAGUGACCAUGUGACGUGAAAUUAUGCUAAGUAAUUUUAAUUAUCAGUGGAAAAAAUUACCAGUGUUCCAUGAACUUUAAACAUUUCUGUCAAAACAUUAUGAUGGCCAGUUAUAAAUGUAAGAAAGUAAGAAAAUAGUAAAACUAAUUUUUAAUUGGCACACUAGCAUUUAAAACAAUAGAAACAUUGAGGAUUGAAGUAUUGCAUUUCUUUGUGAAAAACUUAAGUAUAAUUUGAACAGUUCUUCUGAUCAUAUAGCUAUUUGGAUCAAGCAUCUUCUCUGUGCCUUUGCAAAUGGCCAUACUUCAGAGUUUGGAUCAGCUUGCACAAGUUUAUCAUUUGCGCUUAUAAUGCUGUGAAAUAUCUUCAGAAGUUCUUUUGAUGUGAAGUUUUUGCCAAUGUCACUUCCUCCAAGACAUUUUCAAGCUUUUCAUCGUAACCACUUUCCUCCUUAAUCUCAGUAACUUUGCAUCCACUGAGUUCCUCUGGCUGUAUAUCUAGAGUGUUACUAAUGGUGACAGUGUCAAUAUUCCCAGUUGUCUCUUUUGUACCUCCAUUUGUGCUUGAUUCAGAUUUCACUUUCAGUGUUAUCACUUUUAAUUUCUUUCCUGCACUUUCAUCUUUUUGGCCAAUUUCCUCUUUCAAAUAUCAUUUUUGUAAAGGGUCAUGUGAGUUUAUCAUGGGGAGAAGAGGAAGCAACACAAUUGCAUGCUUUGCUGUCUGUGUUUGAACUGAAUAACAGAUGUGCAGGGAGGGACCAAUCAUUGACAAAUUUUGAAAGAAGUGUCUUGAUUGGGUACUACGACUGAUUGUAAUGGGAUUCUGAUAAUUAUAGAGUGAUUUGAAGAUUGAAGCUCUGGCAGUGAAGUUGUCCUUUAUGCAAGUAUAGUUAGUAUACUAUGGUAACAGAAAUUUGAAUCAUGCCAUGUGUAACUGCCUGUAUGUGUGUUUGUAUACCUAGAUAUGUGUGUGGAUCUCAAUAAAGGAUAUAGAGGUGC